CCGUCUCCAUGCGGUACAGGCAGCGUGAUCAGAGCGCUAACACAACAGCCUGUGUAAUUACAUGUUUCUAGGAAGUGUGUUAGCUCCACGGGGAGCUGAGUCCAUUUGGAGAGGAGGAGGAGGAGGAAGAGACUUUCUUUUUUUUUGGGGGGUAGGUAAGGUGAAAAGGGUCAGCGGGUAGCCCGGCUCUGGCUCGAAUAUGAUAAAGGUAAUUGUGGCUCUCAAGUGAACGCCGGGUGCUCCCCGGUCCUGGCUCCUCUCCCUCCUUGCUCAUGUCUGUGCUAUGCAGGCGUCUGCUGUCAAAACCAGGAGAAGCAGGGCUGUGCGAGAAGAGAGAAGAGGUUUGACCCUGUUGGAAGCGUUAGCUCUGGGCUCUGUGGAUGCUUUGCCGUGACGGAGGGCCGAGGGCUGACCGAGUCGUGGGGAGGAUUUGUAUGUAGGAAGAGAGGAGAUGGCUGUGCAGCGUGCUCCCGAAUCUGCUCUGAGCCUGCUGAUGGUAAGUACUUGCUGAAAUCCGUUUGGGAAAGAGGGGGGUAGGGGGGAUCAGGGAGGGUGGGCGAGGGGAGCUGCACCACAGGGAUUCAGGGCACCAAAUCCACG
rnacentral:lncRNA from 1 species